AAUAUGGGUUUCUUCAUAAACAAAUAAAUAAUUCAUGCACUGGGGAUGGGUGUGAGAUUGUGUGAUGGAUAUGUGGUUGGAAGUUUGGUGAAGCACAAGACAAAGGCAAUGAAAGCGUGUCUCCUCUCUUUGCGGGCGUACGUGCGACCUGCAUUAGCAAGAAGUAGCACCAGCACUCUGUUCUGCUGCAUUUUGUGUGGUGGAGCUGAAAAGAAGAUCGAGCAUACAAAAAAAAGAAAGAAAAUCGAUUAUUUUUUUACCAGAAAACUUCCAGCACUUCAAGUUUAGCUUCGUCUUAUAUAUAUGUGCGGUGCAUUCAUUCAUUCGUGCUUCUGCCUUGACCAAAAACAAGCAUAUCAUAUUAGGGAAACAUUCAUGAAAAACUUGUUAAAAAUACUAUUACUUGUCCUGAAAGUGUACCUGUUGCAGUUUUUAGAGAGUUUGACCAAAACUAGUAGGAAAUAUGUCAGUCAGUCUGUUAUGAUUCUGUGCACAUAUAUAGGGGUCACCAUGCAUUCUAUUUACUAAUUCCUAUUGCAUUCAUGAAGUAGUCCAUCGAUGAAUGGAGCCAGUCUCUCACGUACGUAUUUUACUGAUUUACUUGCCAAUGCCUCCCUGAAAGUCUGACUGACCAUUUUCUGUGGCCAGGGAAAGCCAACGGAAGAAGAGAAAGCUAUAUAUGCCCGCCUCUUGGUGGAUCAAGCUUGGUUUGGUCAAAAGGAGGCAUUGCUGGAUCAGAGGGAAAGACAAGCAGACAUGAUUUCUAGCGUUUGGUUGAUCAGCACACACUGGAUGGAGCGUGUUUGCUUAAUCAGCACACGCUGGAUGGACAGUCAAUCAAGUUCAGAGUCAAGUUCAGAGGGAGUUGAGCAUAUAAGCAUCUGGUUCUUGACUUUUUCUCUUGAUGAUAGGCCAUAUAGACGAGAUCAGAUGUUGGUUCAGAAGCUACAUGCAUGAUGCAUGCGUGGACUUGAUUUGAUUGAGAGGAACAGGAACAGGAACAGGGAACUGAAUGCAUGCUGCAUUAUUGAUCCAUGCUGAUUGGAGGAGAUCCGUUCGAUCUGAUAGAGUGCUGCUGCUGCAGGUACUUCAGCUGGGAGGAAGAGCUACUCACUCAUGCAUGUGACCCAAAUGACACCGGCUGUUUCACUGGGGAGGAAUUGAAGCAAUCUUGUACAGUAGCAGCUAACACUGACGUCAAUUUGCGGCAGAUUGUCUUAAAACACCAAAGCUUUCUGUCACACAUGCAUGCAUCUCACUUCUUGUGUAGAUAGCUUUAGCUAGCUUGUUUCUGUUCAGGAGCCACACAGCACAACUGCUCCUUCAAUUUGAUAUUAAGUGACUUUUUAUUACAUGUAACUAAAUGUAUUUUAGUAUAGAGACAAUUUUGAAUCACUUGGUAGGGAGGAAG